rnacentral:rRNA from 1 species
CCUACGGGAGGCAGCAGUAAGGAAUAUUGGACAAUGGUGGCAACACUGAUCCAGCCAUGCCGCGUGCAGGAAGAAGGCGCUACGCGUUGUAAACUGCUUUUGUACCAGAGAAAAUCAUUGUACGUGUACGAUGUUGAUAGUAUGGUAAGAAUAAGCAUCGGCUAACUUCGUGCCAGCAGCCGCGGUAAUACGAAGGAUGCAAGCGUUAUCCGGAUUUAUUGGGUUUAAAGGGAGCGUAGGCGGCUUUAUAAGUCAGUGGUGAAAUCUUGUCGCUUAACGACAAACGUGCCAUUGAUACUGUAGAGCUUGAGUACAGAUGCCGUUGGCGGAAUGUGUCAUGUAGCGGUGAAAUGCAUAGAUAUGACACAGAACACCGAUUGCGAAGGCAGCUGACGAAACUGUAACUGACGCUGAGGCUCGAAAGCGUGGGGAUCAAACAGGAUUAGAUACCCUGGUAGUCCACGCCCUAAACUAUAUAUACUCGUUGUGUGNGAGUAUANAGUACGUAACGUAAGACGAAGUAGUUAAGUUAAGUUACUACCGUUAGGGUUAGGUACGGCCGGCCGACGGAGGAACGACGAAAGGAAGUUAGACGGCGNGAGAGNGCGACGGACGACGACGAGGGAGGUAGGAG